CCCAGACUCUUUUGAGUAACUUUUCUUUCUGCUGUUUCCCUCUAGGUCUUUUUGCUUCUCUCUUGGAGAAGGAAGAGUUGUGCAUCUUCUUAGCAUUACAUAUGGAAAAUUUACCAAGUGAAUCACAAAAAUCUUAUUGCAAAAUUGGAAUUGUUGUCUGUGAAGCCAGAAAAMCAAAAAGGAUUAUAGCAGUGGACUGCUCUGCAGAGGAUCUUCAUGCUGUGCCCAAAGUACUGUUAAGGUUUCCUAAUGCUCUGAAAGGCUGUGAAGUGUACUUAUCUCGAAUGCCUUGCAACUAUUGUGCAAAAUUGCUUGUUCAAGCACAAGUCUCACAAGUGUACUACUGGCCUAAUUUUGAAAAAAAGGCAGAUGAGACCUUUAGUGGUGAGCUGGUAAAACAUACUAAUACCAUCUUUUCAGAAAGCUAUGUCGUUGCAGCAGUCUUCGUACCAGCAAUAAACGAUCAAAGAAAGCAGCAGAUACUUGUUUCAAAUAAAAGAGCAUCUUCUGAUGGUGAUUGCAUCACAAUUGCAUCCAUAUUUGAUGAGAACUAUACCAGUGAUAUGUUAGAGCGUCUUAAAUUGGGACACCUGAAAGACAAACAACACAAAAAGUAUAAAGAAAAUCUUACUACAGUAAAGGAUUGUUUUAAAACUCUGGCAGGUGCCAAAGAUGAAAAAAUUACAAUAUUAGAAAAGGAGAAACCUAGAGAUGAAAUAAAUACUCCCAAAUAUGCCCAUGCGUUGCAACUCUGUGAUUUAUUAGCAUCCAGAAGUGACAACAAUAAUGGAGUGGGGACUUUGAUUUUCAGUGGAGACAAAAUUGUUGCCCUGGGCUACAGUGGAUAUCCAAAAGGGUCAAUGAAUAGUUUGUUUGGAAAGAAGGCAGAUGUUGAUUUUGACAAGCAUGCAGUUGUAUGUGCAGAAGCUAAUGCAAUUAUUAUGAGGUGGGAACUCUUUAAAUACUUAAAAAAAUUAGACAUAGAAAAUCUUCCUGUUGGGUUCUUCAAUAAUGAAGAAAUAACUUUCUAACUAAACUACCAUGGGGAUUUCCAAAUUGUAGAUGGGACAAGUAAUGUUAGA
ensembl:lncRNA